rnacentral:sRNA from 1 species
AUUUUUUGUAUGUUUUUCACUUUUACUUUUUGUUUU